rnacentral:piRNA from 1 species
UCUUGAUAUGCAAAUGGUUGUCACUGUGGC